rnacentral:rRNA from 1 species
AAUAUAAUAAUUAUUAUUUUAUUUUUUUUUAUAAUUUUAAUAAAAGUAAUUUUAAAAUUUUGAUUUUUUAGUAUAUUUUAUAGAAAAAAUAUUUUUAAUAAUAGUGAAUUAGUAUUGUUAAAGAAUUUUGAAAUAAAUUUUUAUUUUAAAAAAGUAAAAUUUAUUUUUUGUACCUUGUGUAUCAGGGUUUAUUAAAAAAUUAAUAUUGAUUUUAUUUUUCCCGAAUUUAAGAGAGAGAAUUAGUUAUUUUUUUUAUUGUGACAAAAAUAUUUAAAAUAAUUAAUUAGUAAUGAAAAGUUAUUCGUUCUUAAUAUAUCUGGUUUAUUUAGAAAUGAAUUUAAUUCAGAUAAUUUAAUGGUUUAUAAUAUUUAUUUAUUAUAAAUUAUUUUAUUAUUAAUAAUUAAAGGGAUAAGCUUUUAAUUAUUUUUUAAAAGUAUUAGUUUUGAUAAUAAAAAAUGUAAGUUUAGAAAUAUCUAUCAUUAUAGUUUGUUAUAAUUAAUUUUAUUAAUAAUAUUAUUUGAUAAUACUUUAAGUUUUCUAUAAAUAUUUAAUUUUUAAUUUUUAAAAAUUAGUAAUAAUGAUGGAAUUAGUAUAAUAAAAUAUUUAUAUAAAUUUAUAUAAAAAGUUAUUUUAAGGAAUUCAGCAAAAAUUUUAUUCGCCUGUUUAACAAAAACAUGUCCUUUUGAAUAUUUAUUUAAGGUCUAACCUGCCCAAUGAAAAAUUUAAAUGGCCGCAGUAUUUUGACUGUGCAAAGGUAGCAUAAUCAUUAGUUUUUUAAUUGAAAGCUUGUAUGAAGGGUUGGACGAGAUAAAAACUGUCUUAAUUUAAUUUAUUUUAGAAUUUAAUUUUUAAGUUAAAAAGCUUAAAUUUAAUUAAAAGACGAGAAGACCCUAUAGAUCUUUAUAAAUUUUAUUUUAAUUAAAUUUUAGAAUUAAUUAUUAUUUAAAAUAAAAUUUAUUAUAUUGGGGUAAUAUAAAGAUUAAAGUAAUUCUUUAUUUAUAAUAACAUUAAUUUAUGAUUAUUUGAUCCAAUAUUAUUGAUUAUAAGAUUAAGUUACCUUAGGGAUAACAGCGUAAUUUUUUUAGAGAGUUCAUAUCGAUAAAAAAGUUUGCGACCUCGAUGUUGGAUUAAAAAUUAUCCUAGGUGCAGAAGUUUAGGAUUUUGGUCUGUUCGACCAUUGAAUUUUUACAUGAUCUGAGUUCAGACCGGUGUAAGCCAGGUCGGUUUCUAUCUUUAAUAAAAAAAUAUAUUUUAGUACGAAAGGACCAAAUAUUAAAUAUAGAUUAUUUAUUUUUUUGAAUAUUAUUAA